CAUUGAUGGUGGGAUGUUUCGAGUGUUUGAAUGUCUAAUACGAAGCCAAACUCUUCUCAAGUUCUUUCGUUUCUGUAUGAAAUAAACAUUAACUGUUAUGAGUCGUUAUAAGCCAGAUACCAGGGCGGCAUUCAGCCGCCAGCCUGCUCAUUAUUUGCUUUUUGAUGUUGGACAACCCAUGACUUCAACUCAAAUGCGCAAUGCUAUUACGGCUGUACAAAAUGUUUUGAUGCUGGCUUGUUCAAUUCGAGGAGGAAGUCGUAUUCCUGCUUUUGGAUUAGCAAUGAUUAACCAAAACUUCCAAAAUGUGUACAGUCUAGAGGCAAUUCAAGGAAACUUUUCCAAGAUUUCAGCUGCCUUCAAUUCUCUCUCAUAUCAGGCAAAAAUCAGUGAAAAAGUGUCUUUUCAAGAGUUUAAGGACUAUCUUUAUCUGGCAAUAAAUUCAUUACUGGAGGAUUUCAAGUCCAAAUCUGAAAUCAUGUCUGGUAACAACAAAUGGCAGUUCCCUCCACAAAUGCAGAUAACAUUUGUGACAGCAAAGGAUGGCUCUGAUAUCCAACUAUGUCUAGAAGAGGCUGUGAAGACUAUGAAUAUUGCAAAGCUUAAGAAGAUUCAGGUAGUGCAGUUACAGAAUGAGUUGGGUAACCUGGUUACUGAAAGGAAUAUGGAAGAACCAGGCCAAAAGAUCAACACAAACUUCCUAAAAGGAGUAGAGUUUGUAGUAUUAGUUCAAGUUGCCGGAACUGAGAAGGAACUAGAGAGCUUUUUCAAGACAUGGUUGCUGGACUGUGACAUUGACCAUGAGCACCUACGUAUAUCCCUGCCCCCUUCAGUUGACCUACCAGGUUCAGCAUCUCCGGUUCUAAAGUGUGACAUUGGUGAAUGCCUCAUCAAUCCCCUCUCCCUUCCAUUUGGUCAUCGCUAUCAGAUUCAGAUGGACUUUUGUAGCAUUCAGUUAGGCGGAAGUGGUCUAACAAAAUCUGCUGCAAAUGACAUGCCAAUAUAUGAAUUGGAGGUAUUGGCUUGUCUGUCAUCAAGCAGCAUUUGUCAGUCGCAGCUAUUUGGUCAGCCAGCAUGCCUCUACCCCACCCAGUGUUGGCAUUUAGAGUGGGAAGAACUACUAAACAAUCAGCAGUUCUUUGUGUCGCUCUGCAAGAAACUAUGUGAACGAGACGAGUACCUGCUGACUAGGCUCAAGGGGCACCUCCACAGUAUCAGUGAAUUAGCAGGCUACUUUGUUUUAGAAUCAGAUGGCAGUGAGCUACUACUGAAUGCAGCAGUUUCAGCAGAACUGGUCCUACCAACACGAGAGGUUGGACUGCCUUGUUUGUCUAAUGACAGGAAGGCACACAAGAUGUUAAAUGCUGUAUCAAACUGUUUGGAUCACCUACCACUGAUACAAGACUUCCAGCCAUCUGACUUCCCAUCAGGCCUCUACAGCAUACUGGCACGCAACCUGCAGCAUAACACUACAGUGAGUGAGAGAUGAACUGAAGAUUACUGUCUUCAGGGAUGUGACACAGUGUAGUCUGGUACUUCAUUAUUAAUAUUUGAGAGGAACCUGCUGUCUCCAUCUGCAGGUAUGAUAACACUCAUUUCCUGAAUGGAAGUUCUAAUUGUGAUAUGGGAAAUAGUGGUCACCCUGCACUUGACACUUCACCAAGUGAAC